rnacentral:lncRNA from 13 species
UCCACCUGGCUGUGCUGCUGCUCCAGUUUCAACUGUUCUGCCUUAUUAUUAUUCGACCAUGCUGGUCAUUUAUGAACAUUUGAACAUCUUGGCCAUGUUCUGUUAUAAUCUCCACCCGGCACAGCCAGAAGAGGACUGGCCAUCCCACAUAUGCUCUCUCUAAUUCUCUCUUUCUUUCUCUCUCUCGGAGGACCUGAGCCCUAGGACCAUGCCCAAGGAAUACCUGACAUGAUGACUCCUUGCUGUCCCCAGUCCACCUGACUGUGCUGCUGCUCCAGUUUCAACUAUUCUGCCUUAUUAUUAUUCGACCAUGCUGGUCAUCUAUGAACAUUUGAACAUCUUGACCAUGUUUUGUUAUAAUCUCCACCCGGCACAGCCAGAAGAGGACCUCUCCUCUUCUGGCCUCUCCUCUUCUCCUCCUCUCUAGGUUUCUUCCUAGGUUUUGGCCUUUCUAGGGAGUUUUUCCUAGCCACCGUGCUUCUACACCUGCAUUGCUUGCUGUUUGGGGUUUUAGGCUGGGUUUCUGUACAGCACUUUGAGAUAUCAGCUGAUGUACGAAGGGCUAUAUAAAUACAUUUGAUUUGAUUUGAUUUGAUUUGGUUAAGGUUAGGGGAAGGUUAGGGGAAGGUUUGUCACUACAGAGUGAAGUUAGUAUAGAGAAUCAUGGUAACAACAGAGGGUUAAGGUUAGGGGAAGGUUAGGGGAAGGUUAGGGGAAGGUCUGUCACUACAGAGUGAAGUUAGUAUAGAGAAUCAUGGUAACAACAGAGGGUUAAGGUUAAUGUUUGGGGUAGGUUCAGUCCCUCCAGAAUGUUGAGACGGUUGGGACAAGCCGUUUGGCCUGUCAUUAAGAAACAUCAACAUCUUCAUUAUGGUCCUGAGUGCAGGGCAGACGUCAGACAGCUAAGAGCUCUUUCUGUUUCAGCAGAAAUACAUUCUACAGGGUUGAUGUACAGGGCUGUCUGAACAAUCCAACAAUGUUAAAAUCAAAUCACACUGUAUUUGUCACAGGCGCCGAAUACAACAGGUGUAGACCUAACAGUGACAUGCUGAAUACAACAGGUGUAGACCUAACAGUGACAUGCUGAAUACAACAGGUGUAGACCUAACAGUGACAUGCUGAAUACAACAGGUGUAGACCUAACAGUGACAUGCUGAAUACAACAGGUGUGGACCUAACAGUGACAUGCUGAAUACAACAGGUGUAGACCUAACAGUGAC